rnacentral:rRNA from 1 species
GCCGCGUGUGUGAAGAAGGCCUUCGGGUUGUAAAGCUUACAGCAGUGAGGAAAGUUUACGUGUUAAUACCUGCUUGCUUUGACGUUAGCUGCAGAAGAAGCACCGGCUAACUCCGUGCCAGCAGCCGCGGUAAUACGGAGGGUGCGAGCGUUAAUCGGAAUUACUGGGCGUAAAGCGCAUGCAGGCGGUUUGUUAAGCUAGAUGUGAAAGCCCCGGGCUCAACCUGGGAAGGGCAUUUUGAACUGGCAGGCUAGAGUCUUGUAGAGGGGAGUGGAAUUUCAGGUGUAGCGGUGAAAUGCGUAGAUAUCUGAAGGAAUAUCGGUGGCGAAGGCGACCCCCUGGACAAAGACUGACGCUCAUGUGCGAAAGCGUGGGGAGCAAACAGGAUUAGAUACCCUGGUAGUCCACACUGUAAACGAUGUCUACUUGCAGGUUGUGACCUUAAGACGUGGCUUUCGGAGCUAACGCGUUAAGUAGACCGCCUGGGGAGUACGGUCGCAAGAUUAAAACUCAAAUGAAAUUGACGGA